UACGAAGGGUGCAAGCGUUAAUCGGAAUUACUGGGCGUAAAGCGCACGCAGGCGGUUGGUUAAGUCAGAUGUGAAAGCCCCGGGCUCAACCUGGGAAUUGCAUUUGAAACUGGGAAACUAGAGUGUGUGAGAGGGGGGUAGAAUUCCAAGUGUAGCGGUGAAAUGCGUAGAGAUUUGGAGGAAUACCAGUGGCGAAGGCGGCCCCCUGGCACAACACUGACGCUCAGGUGCGAAAGCGUGGGGAGCAAACAGG
rnacentral:rRNA from 1 species